CUCUACGGCCAUACCACCCUGACUGUGCCUGAUCUUGUCUGAUCUUGGAAGCUAAGCAGGGUCAGGCCUGGUUAGUACUUGGGUGGGGGGACAUUCGUGGUAAGAAGGC
rfam:Pan troglodytes isolate Yerkes chimp pedigree #C0471 (Clint) chromosome 14, whole genome shotgun sequence.